UGCCAGCAGCCGCGGUAAUACGGAGGAUGCAAGCGUUAUCCGGAAUCAUUGGGUUUAAAGGGUCCGUAGGCGGCCAAAUAAGUCAGUGGUGAAAGCCCAUCGCUCAACGAUGGAACGGCCAUUGAUACUGUUUGGCUUGAAUUAUUAGGAAGUAACUAGAAUAUGUAGUGUAGCGGUGAAAUGCUUAGAGAUUACAUGGAAUACCAAUUGCGAAGGCAGGUUACUACUAAUAUAUUGACGCUGAUGGACGAAAGCGUGGGGAGCGAACAGGAUUAGAUACCCUGGUAGUCC
rnacentral:rRNA from 1 species